rnacentral:rRNA from 1 species
CCCAAAGCGUAACGGAGGAGCACGAAGGUUAGCUAAUCCUGGUCGGACAUCAGGAGGUUAGUGCAAUGGCAUAAGCUAGCUUGACUGCGAGCGUGACGGCGCGAGCAGGUGCGAAAGCAGGUCAUAGUGAUCCGGUGGUUCUGAAUGGAAGGGCCAUCGCUCAACGGAUAAAAGGUACUCCGGGGAUAACAGGCUGAUACCGCCCAAGAGUUCAUAUCGACGGCGGUGUUUGGCACCUCGAUGUCGGCUCAUCACAUCCUGGGGCUGAAGUAGGUCCCAAGGGUAUGGCUGUUCGCCAUUUAAAGUGGUACGCGAGCUGGGUUUAGAACGUCGUGAGACAGUUCGGUCCCUAUCUGCCGUGGGCGCUGGAGAAUUGAGGGGGGCUGCUCCUAGUACGAGAGGACCGGAGUGGACGCAUCACUGGUGUUCGGGUUGUCAUGCCAAUGGCACUGCCCGGUAGCUAAAUGCGGAAGAGAUAAGUGCUGAAAGCAUCUAAGCACGAAACUUGCCCCGAGAUGAGUUCUCCCUGAGACUU